GGUGGAUUUAUUAGAACAGAACCAACCGGCGGUGACUUCGGUUGCUGUCGUUGCAUUCUGUGAUGACUCUGGAUAACUUUACUGAUCGCAGUCGGCCUUGUGUCGGCGACGGAUCUUUCAAAUGUCUGCCCUAUCAAUUUUCGAUGGUAGGUGACCUGCCUACCAUGGUGAUAACGGGUAACGGGGAAUCAGGGUUCGAUUCCGGAGAGGGAGCCUGAGAAACGGCUACCACUUCCAAGGAAGGCAGCAGGCGCGCAAAUUACCCAAUCCCGGCACGGAGGUAGUGACGAAAAAUACGGAUACGGGACUCAUUAGAGGCUCCGUAAUUCGAAUGAGUACAAUUUAAAUCCUUUAACGAGGAUCAACUGGAGGGCAAGUCUGGUGCCAGCAGCCGCGGUAACUCCAGCUCCAGAAGCGUAUAUUAAAGUUGUUGCAGUUAAAAAGCUCGUAGUUGGAUCUGGGUCGCAUGGCUACAUGCCGUUGCUCGUAUUCCUGGCCUGGUUCACACCGGGACGGGUUUGUGAGUCGGUGUCGUGGUUGUGCAGCCUUUCUGCCGUGUCUGUUUCGACAGGUGUUAGCAUGAUUGGUGGGUUCGUCCUGCUGAUCUGUUGACAUGCUUCCAGGUGCCCUUAACCGGGUGUCGGGGGCGGACGGCACGUUUACUUUGAACAAAUUUGAGUGCUCAAAGCAGGCCCGUGUGCCUGAAAAUUCUUGCAUGGAAUAAUGGAAUAGGACUUCGGUUCUAUUUUGUUGGUUUUCGGAUCCGAAGUAAUGGUUAAAAGGGACAGACGGGGGCAUUUGUAUGGCGGUGUUAGAGGUGAAAUUCUUGGAUCACCGCCAGACAAACUACAGCGAAAGCAUUUGCCAAGGAUGUUUUCAUUGAUCUGGAGCGAAAGUCAGAGGUUCGAAGACGAUCAGAUACCGUCCUAGUUCUGACCAUAAACGAUGCCAACUGACGAUCCGUGGUGGCGCGAUUAUUGGCCCCGCGGGCAGCCCCCGGGAAACCUUUAAGUCUUUGGGCUCCGGGGGAAGUAUGGUUGCAAAGCUGAAACUUAAAUGAAUUGACGGA
rnacentral:rRNA from 1 species